rnacentral:rRNA from 1 species
UAAGUCAGUGGUGAAAGCCCAUAGCUCAACUAUGGAACUGCCAUUGAAACUGUUGAUCUUGAGUCUAGUUGACGUAGGCGGAAUGUGACAUGUAGCGGUGAAAUGCAUAGAUAUGUCACAGAACACCAAUUGCGAAGGCAGCUUACGAAACUAGNACUGACGCUCAUGGACGAAAGCGUGGGUAGCGAACAGGAUUAGAUACCCUGGUAGUCCACGCCGUAAACGAUGAUCACUCGAUGUCGGCGAUAUACAGUCGGUGUCCAAGCGAAAGUAUUAAGUGAUCCACCUGGGGAGUACGUUCGCAAGAAUGAAACUCAAAGGAAUUGACGGGGGCCCGCACAAGCGGUGGAGCAUGUGGUUUAAUUCGAUGAUACGCGAGGAACCUUACCUGGGCUUAAAUGUAGAGUGCUUUUACUGGAAACAGUAUUUUCUUCGGACGCUCUACAAGGUGCUGCAUGGCUGUCGUCAGCUCGUGCUGUGAGGUGUCGGGUUAAGUCCCAUAACGAGCGCAACCCCUAUCUUUAGUUGCUAGCAGGUCAUGCUGAGGACUCUAAAGAGACUGCCGGUGCAAACCGUGAGGAAGGUGGGGAUGACGUCAAGUCAGCACGGCCCUUACGUCCAGGGCUACACACGUGCUACAAUGGUAG